GACGAACGCUGGCGGCGUGCUUAACACAUGCAAGUCGAACGGAAAGGCCCUGCUUUUGUGGGGUGCUCGAGUGGCGAACGGGUGAGUAACACGUGAGUAACCUGCCCUUGACUUUGGGAUAACUUCAGGAAACUGGGGCUAAUACCGGAUAGGAGCUCCUGCUGCAUGGUGGGGGUUGGAAAGUUUCGGCGGUUGGGGAUGGACUCGCGGCUUAUCAGCUUGUUGGUGGGGUAGUGGCUUACCAAGGCUUUGACGGGUAGCCGGCCUGAGAGGGUGACCGGCCACAUUGGGACGGAGGUACGGCCCAGACUCCUACGGGAGGCAGCAGUGGAGAAUAUUGCACAAUGGGCGGAAGCCUUAUGCAGCAACGCCGCGUGCGGGAUGACGGCCUUCGGGUUAUAAACCGCUUUCGCCUGUGACGAAGCGUGAGUGACGGUAAUGGGUAAAGAAGCACCGGCUAACUACGUG
rnacentral:rRNA from 1 species